UACAGAGGUCUCAAGCGUUGUUCGGAUUCAUUGGGCGUAAAGGGCGCGUAGGCGGCCUGCUAAGUCGAACGUGAAAUCCCCGGGCUCAACCCGGGAACUGCGUCCGAUACUGGCAGGCUUGAAUUCGGGAGAGGGAUGCGGAAUUCCAGGUGUAGCGGUGAAAUGCGUAGAUAUCUGGAGGAACACCGGUGGCGAAGGCGGCAUCCUGGACCGAAAUUGACGCUGAGGCGCGAAAGCCAGGGGAGCAAACGGG
rnacentral:rRNA from 1 species